GCCUGGAAAUAAGCUGCUAUACCAAAAAAAAUGGUUAUAAUGAUGUGAAUGACCACGGAUCCUUUGGAAUUGAAACAUUCUCCCAAACGCUGUUCCUGGUUGACUACUGACAUAAAGAAGACUAGAGCAAUGAAUGUCCACAGAUGCACUAAGCCUGGUGUUUGAUGAUGUCCGUGGUCUCCUCUGCACUCAAGGAGAAGAAGAUUUUGCCGAGAGUGUGACAAACUUAGAAAGGCAGGCCGGUUGUAACAAGAAGGAUGGCCACUGAUCCUCUGGAAUUGAAAUAUUCUCCCAUGUGAUGUUCCUGCUUGUCUUGUGGGGUUAAAUCUGCUGAGAAACACUGCAUGGCAUGCACCGUUUUAAAGGAGUGUGGGACCUCGUUUGGUUGUCAUGACCAAUGGUUUACCAGUCAGCGAGAGUCAUCAUUCAAGGAGGUGUUCUUGUUGUGUGAGACAAGCUGGACCUUCAGCAAUGCAUGUAGUUCUUCUCUCAAUGCAUGUUGAGAAAGGAAAAAAGAGCCUUGAGUUUCUCUUGGCAUGCUAUUCUAGGAGCCCCAUGUUUCAUUUUCAAAUGGAGUGUGAAAACACUUUUGUCCUGCUCUAAGGUAAGAGAGAUUCAUGCUUCUUUAAAAAUAUCACUGUAUCUGUGACUUAAGAUUUGAAUGGCCAUGUCCUCUGCUGGGCCCCUUCUGGAAACUUAGAGAAGUUUGA